rnacentral:rRNA from 1 species
UUAGUGGCGGACGGGUGAGUAACGCGUGGGCAACCUGCCGUAUACAGGGGGAUAACAACUGGAAACAGUUGCUAACACCGCAUAAGCGCACGGUACCGCAUGGUACCGAGUGAAAAUCUCCGGAGGUAUACGAUGGGCCCGCGUCUGAUUAGCCAGUUGGUGGGGUAACGGCCUACCAAAGCGACGAUCAGUAGCCGGCCUGAGAGGGUGGACGGCCACAUUGGGACUGAGACACGGCCCAAACUCCUACGGGAGGCAGCAGUGGGGGAUAUUGCACAAUGGGGGAAACCCUGAUGCAGCGACGCCGCGUGAGUGAAGAAGCAAUUCGUUGCGUAAAGCUCUAUCAGCAGGGAAGAAGAAAUGACGGUACCUGAAUAAGAAGCCCCGGCUAACUACGUGCCAGCAGCCGCGGUAAUACGUAGGGGGCAAGCGUUAUCCGGAUUUACUGGGUGUAAAGGGAGCGUAGACGGCAGUGCAAGUCCGAUGUGAAAACCCGGGGCUCAACCCUGGGAGUGCAUUGGAAACUGUACGGCUGGAGUGCAGGAGAGGUAAGCGGAAUUCCUGGUGUAGCGGUGAAAUGCGUAGAUAUCAGGAGGAACACCAGUGGCGAAGGCGGCUUACUGGACUGUAACUGACGUUGAGGCUCGAAAGCGUGGGGAGCAAACAGGAUUAGAUACCCUGGUAGUCCACGCUGUAAACGAUGA